AUGAACGCUGGCGGCGUGCCUAAUACAUGCAAGUCGAGCGAACAGACGAGGAGCUUGCUCCUCUGACGUUAGCGGCGGACGGGUGAGUAACACGUGGAUAACCUACCUAUAAGACUGGGAUAACUUCGGGAAUCCGGAGCUAAUACCGGAUAAUAUAUUGAACCGCAUGGUUCAAUAGUGAAAGACGGUUUUGCUGUCACUUAUAGAUGGAUCCGCGCCGCAUUAGCUAGUUGGUAAGGUAACGGCUUACCAAGGCAACGAUGCGUAGCCGACCUGAGAGGGUGAUCGGCCACACUGGAACUGAGACACGGUCCAGACUCCUACGGGAGGCAGCAGUAGGGAAUCUUCCGCAAAGGGCGAAAGCCUGACGGAGCAACGCCGCGUGAGUGAUGAAGGUCUUCGGAUCGUAAAACUCUGUUAUUAGGGAAGAACAAAUGUGUAAGUAACUAUGCACGUCUUGACGGUACCUAAUCAGAAAGCCACGGCUAACUACGUG
rnacentral:rRNA from 1 species